UACAGAGGGUGCGAGCGUUGUUCGGAAUUACUGGGCGUAAAGCGCGUGUAGGUGGCGAUGUAAGUCGGAUGUGAAAUCCCUCGGCUUAACCGAGGAAGUGCAUUCGAUACUGUGUCGCUUGAGUAUCGGAGGGGUCGGCGGAAUUCCCGGUGUAGAGGUGAAAUUCGUAGAUAUUCGCAAGAACACCAGUGGCGAAGGCGGCUCACUGGCCCGAUACUGACGCUGAGGCACGAAAGCGUGGGGAGCAAACAGG
rnacentral:rRNA from 1 species